UAAAGUUCGUGGUCAAAACAAAUCUUAAUAAAUCUCCUGCGAAGACACAAAACAUGAUUUUACCCAUCCUUAACAUGGACGUGACGCCGUUCGUUCAGUUCCUGGUCUUCGUUGCAUACAUUGGUCUUAUUUUUGGACUUUCGGUAGAACUUAUCGGCCGUAAUCCAUUAAACAUGUUGAGAAAAAGCAAUAAAGAGGAAGGUUCCACCAUAAAUGCAGAAGACUCGGUCGUAACAAAAGAUGAUUCUGCCGUUGUAAGCGAAGGCUCCGCCAUCAAGAACGAAGAUUCUGUUACGGAGAGCGAGAUCCCGGAGGGAAAUUCAAGUCUGGCUAAUUGAGUGCUUUGGAGAUUUAGAGAAAGCAGCGGCAACUGAUGAUGAGCGCGCUGACCUAACACACCGCGGAUACUCCUCAAGUUACACAGAAGGGUGGAGGCCUCUUUGCUUUUUAAAUUUCCCUUCUAUCCAUAAAACGAAAAGAACCUGAAGGGACACCUCAAUCUAUUACAAGUCAUCUAAGAUGAUAACUGAUGCCUUUAGGAUAAAUUAAUAAUAAGAUAUUGAUAUAAUGAUCUAAGGGGGAGUGAAUCUGUAUUCUAAUCAGCGGUAUAGCGUUGAGUUGAUACCCACUUACACGCUGACACAAAAAGAACUGAGUGACCAGUUGGAUAAACCGUGCAAUAUAAAACUUAAAACUCAUCUCGUGUGCAUCGGAGGGAGAACUGGGGUAACCCCGAACGUAUCUUUUAUUCCUAAUGCUUGGAAAAAUUUGUGAACUGCACGGACACAAAACCUGUUGUAAAUAUUUCCUGGGAUAUGAUGUAUGCAUAUAUACUGCAAGAAAAAAAUUUUAUAUCACAAUCAUCUCUCAAUCCGCGGAUGAAUUGAAAGCGCAUGGAACACUUACAAUCAGCCAACGUGCUUAUCGAAGAAAUUUUAAUCACUCCAAUAGUUCAUAAAUUAGAAGGUAAUAAAAUAAAACCGAUUUAAGGCUG